UUACAGAACUCACUGUUUACGAUAAAAAAAAACUCACUGUAAGGACCAUUUAGCUAAGAGUCCUGACUGGCAGGUACUAUUGUUUUUCAUUUUAAUACAGGGGAAAUAUGCACUAAUCUACUGAUGAUCUAAAAGAUUCAGCUUCAAAUGGUGAUCACAAUACAGCCAUUUAAUCCUACAAAUGGAGCACCUUGCUAUAAAAAGUUGGAAUUCAACAUGCAAACAUAAAAGAAAAAUGCCCAGUUA
rnacentral:misc_RNA from 1 species